rnacentral:rRNA from 1 species
UACGUAGGGUGCAAGCGUUAAUCGGAAUUACUGGGCGUAAAGCGUGCGCAGGCGGUUUUGUAAGACUGUCGUGAAAUCCCCGGGCUCAACCUGGGAAUGGCGAUGGUGACUGCAAGGCUAGAGUUUGGCAGAGGGGGGUAGAAUUCCACGUGUAGCAGUGAAAUGCGUAGAUAUGUGGAGGAACACCGAUGGCGAAGGCAGCCCCUGGGUCAAAACUGACGCUCAUGCACGAAAGCGUGGGGAGCAAACAGG